UAUUCUCUAAUUUGCAGGCCCAGAAGAGGGAACUAUUGGAACUGGAAAGAAGGGAAAUUAUUGGUGAAAUUCUAAAGCUGAACCCAAGUUACAAGGCUCCAUCUGAUUACAAGCCAUUAUUGAAAGAGGUUGUAGUACCUAUUCCUCUUAAAGCACAUCCAGGAUUCAAUUUCACUG